rnacentral:rRNA from 1 species
UACAGAGGUCUCAAGCGUUGUUCGGAUUCAUUGGGCGUAAAGGGUGCGUAGGUGGCGCCGUAAGUCAGGUGUGAAAUUUCGGAGCUAACUCCGAAACUGCAUUUGAUACUGCGGUGCUUGAGGACUGGAGAGGAGACUGGAAUUUACGGUGUAGCAGUGAAAUGCGUAGAGAUCGUAAGGAAGACCAGUGGCGAAGGCGGGUCUCUGGACAGUUCCUGACACUGAGGCAACGAAGGCCCAGGGGAGCAAACGGG